UUGGCCUUCAUAUCCUGGGAAGAGAUAACAGGACAGUGAGAGGAGUGGAGAAAACACCUCCCUUCUUUCAUUGCUGCCUGUUCCAUUCAGGGAGCCCCUGUGACUCCAAAAGUGGCCUUUCUCCUCUGAGCAUCUUAACAGAGGUUUCAGUAGAGGGUACUAUACUAAAUAAUGCAGCCCUCCUUCUUUCUUCCAUGCCAGAGAAGUUUACAAAACAAGGAGGAAGACUUCUACACCUCACAGCCAGGAUUCCCUGCUCUGGCUCUCGGCUGCUGCCUCAGGGUGAAUCUGUUGCUAGGUCAUCGUGGCAUCUCUGCAGGAUGACAGUGUUUUGGAAACAGUGAGAAACAGAUACUGAGAGAAGUCCCUAGCCUGGGUACCCAGAGAGCCUUUUACCUUCCUCUGGUAGGACUCAAUCCUGGUGUUGGUUACCCUAGACCAGGCCAGUGAAACAGAGUUGAGGUCUCACUAAGUUGCCCAGGCUGGUCUGGAACUCCUGGACUCGAGCAAUCCCCCCGCCUUGGCCUCCCAAAGUGCUGGGCUUACAGACAUGAGCCACCGUGUCCAGCUGACAGGAGGUCUUAACAUCCUUGUUUUUCGGA
rnacentral:lncRNA from 10 species